rnacentral:misc_RNA from 1 species
GCCAGUUCCUCUUUUUCCCUCUCCAAAUUCUUCUUUUUUCCACUGUUACCUGAACCUAAAUUGAAACUCUUUGAAAUUUCUUCCGGUUUCUUCUCAAAUUGUCUGAUUUGACGACCGAGAGAAGCAAGUAAGGGCUCAGAUUGAAGGUCAAUUUGCUGCCAUAUUUGCUCGGCAUCAAAACCAUCUGUCAAGAGCUGAGCGAAGGGCGACUUCGGAGUGUAGGGUUUGAGAGAAGAAUAUAGGUACUUAGAAGCUAAUCGAGCGGCUUCGGAGAGUUCCGGUGAUGCUGAGAGAUAAAGAGGUGGUUCAGUUGAUUUAAGCCGCCGGAGGGCAUUAACGCCGCCGGCAUUUUGGCUGUCGUCGGUUGCCAUUGAGGAAGAUUGAUGGUGUGUUCU